rnacentral:lncRNA from 1 species
GCUUUCCCUUUCCUCUGACCAAGUGACAACUGCUCGGAAACAGACAGGACAGAGAAUCUUAAAAUAGAGCAGCAAAUAUCCGCGGCUCGCCGCCCCGGGCUCUGUGGCACCAUCAGCAGCUUGCGCAGGACACAGACGUCGGCUCACGCGCCGCAGCCCUCGGCCCCGGAAGAGCCGCGGCCGCGGAGCAGCGAACGCGUGCCUGCCAGGGAAAAGCAGUCACCAGGAACGCGGCGUUUUGGUCGGCUGCCCAUCGCCAGCCCUGUCCGCGCGAGAUGCCCUGCUCCGAAGCUCUUGUGAGCUCCGCGGCCUGCGGCUCCGGAAGGCGAAGCUCUUCCAGGAAGCAGCGGCGGCCCCACUGGCCCUCUCAGGCUGCGGAGAAAGGGCGGGAGGCCGCGGGGCUCUCCAGGACUCAGUGGUUUCGGAGAAACUCGACUUCCCAGGCUCGGAGGGCCAGUUUGGGAUUGUUAUAGAACAAAACGUGGGCGGCAUAAAGUGCUCCGAAGUGGAGAUCACCUUGAAGACUGGGCCCUUGGCUCUGUGACCCAGCAGACCCGAAAUUCCAAUCUGGCAAACUUUCAGCCUGACCCUUGGGAAAGGAUCGCUCCCAGAGUGUGGGGGUGGAGGUGAUGGGACAAAGAUCUUAAAAUCCUGAAAAACAACCGUUAUUCUCAACUGAAUUUCUGCUAAGUGCAUCCAUUCAUAAACAGUACGUGCCUGGCGCUCUUUACGUGUAUUAACUGGUUUAAUUCCCACAACCUUAAGUAGGGGCUGUUAAUCUCACAAUUGUAGAGCCACCAUUCAAAGCCAGGCAGUCUGGCCCCAGCCUCUGUGGGCUUAACCACUACCCGCCGCCAAGCAGCUCCUAGGAGCCUGGCAGGGAAAGGCAUGGUGACGACAGCAGACGAGGUCCCUCAAGUAGCUUGCAUUCUGGAAGCGAAGAAAGAUCAUGAACAAGUUUCAAAUUGGUAAAAUAAUUGUCAGUGGAGAUUCAUCCCAUAAAGGAAUUGAGUAAAAGGAAGAACUACUUUCAGUAAGAUGGUUUGGGUUGGAGUUUCUGUUCAUAAGGGCAGAAAUGGACUCUCUCUGACUUAAAGAGAAAAAACUUUGUUAAGAGUUUGGGGUAACCCACAGAAUUAUCAGGAUGUCUCAGAAUACAGACAAGAACAAAGGGAGGCUCCGCAGCCAAAAGUCCCUCCUCUAAACCACUUUGAUGAGGACCAAACAGGUGCUACUGCUGAAAGCUAGACACCACAUCCUACUCCACAACCAACGCUGGAACUCCCCAGACACCCCGCUGGCUCUGCCGCCCCUAAACCGGAUGCGGCAGCCACCGCGGACCCCACAGCGGAUUCUCCACCACCCCAUUUCUUUGCAUUGCAUCACCACCUCCAGAGUGUGCCUAAUUGGCACCCCGCUGCUUCUGAUGCAAAACUCCAAGCUGUACUGGGCAAACGCGCAGCCUCUGGCACCAUUCCCAGUGCUGCUGAGCAUACAGACCUGAGCACAGCGGAGGGGGAGGGCUUGGUGGGGAGGGGGACUUACAAUUCAUCCACGCUGUUGAAAUCCCAUCAAACACACACGACCCAGUUUGGCUGGUGCAGCCUUUUCUCUCCCCUCCUGAUAGCAUUUCAGCCUCUCUUCCAAUAAAAAAUAGUAGCUACUAAUUUUGAGUGCCUGUUUAUAUGCAAAUCUACCACAGAAAUAAGCCUUCAUUUCUGAGGCUAGCCCUUGCAAGGUAGUUAAUUACUCUCCCCAUUUUCAAAUGCAUAAUCUAAAGGCUUAGAGAGGUUAGGAAUCUUGUCCAGGUUCUCCGGUGUAAGAAGGGGUGGAGCCCAAAUUUGAACUCAGGUUUGUAAUGCUCUGGGGAGCACACACUGCCUCCUAAGGGGAAAGGCAAAAAGUUAUCAGCACAGAAGUGAUCCCUGCUCCAAAAUCCCAGCCAUGACAUGUGGGGAGAGGGGACACUCCAUCUGAAUUUAUGACCACGGUCUCUACAGCCCCUGACCCUGCCCACCACCUACAGACCCCUCCUGAUACCCUGACCACUGCAGCCGUCCCAACCUCCCAGGUAGAUGAGCUCUGUGAGGCCACUUGGUUCCUCCCGUGUCAAGGCAGACUCCUCCACCCCGCUGACCUUUAUCCCUCAUAGCUUCCAUAAAGGUCCUCUGAGGUUCUACACCUACGGGUUUACACUGCUACAGGUAAGGCUCACUUUACACAAACACAUAUGUGAGCUGAAUGUUUGUGAAUUGAUUCUAUACUGAUUGGAUUACAUCAUCAUUUCAAAAACCAUUGUUAAUCUCCACCUGCUCUUCAGCUCUCAUUGACAAUCAGGCACUUUAGCUUAAAGUUUUAUUGCCCCCACUUCCUUACUUUUCUUGGCAAGCAGC